GCAGGGGAUGGAGCCGAGUGCCACAGCUGACCCCACACCACGUGCUCUGCUCUCUCCCCAGC
ensembl:miRNA gga-mir-12250 gga-mir-12250